CCUACGGGUGGCAGCAGUAGGGAAUCUUCGGCAAUGGACGAAAGUCUGACCGAGCAACGCCGCGUGAGUGAAGAAGGUUUCGGAUCGUAAAACUCUGUUGUUAGAGAAGAACAAGUAGGAGAGUAACUGCUCUUACCUUGACGGUAUCUAACCAGAAAGCCACGGCUAACUACGUGCCAGCAGCCGCGGUAAUACGUAGGUGGCAAGCGUUGUCCGGAUUAUUGGGCGUAAAGCGAGCGCAGGCGGUCUUUUAAGUCUGAUGUGAAAGCCCUCGGCUCAACCGAGGAAGGUCAUUGGAAACUGGAGGACUUGAGUGCAGGAGAGGAGAGUGGAAUUCCAUGUGUAGCGGUGAAAUGCGUAGAUAUAUGGAGGAACACCAGUGGCGAAGGCGACUCUCUGGUCUGUAACUGACGCUGAGGCUCGAAAGCGUGGGGAGCAAACAGGAUUAGAUACCCUCGUAG
rnacentral:rRNA from 1 species